rnacentral:rRNA from 1 species
AUGCACGCUGGCGGCGUGCCUCAUACAUGCCAGUCGAGCGAACAGACGAGGAGCUUGCUCCUCUGACGUUAGCGGCGGACGGGUGAGUAACACGUGGAUAACCUACCUAUAAGACUGGGAUAACUUCGGGAAACCGGAGCUAAUACCGGAUAAUAUAUUGAACCGCAUGGUUCAAUAGUGAAAGACGGUUUUGCUGUCACUUAUAGAUGGAUCCGCGCCGCAUUAGCUAGUUGGUAAGGUAACGGCUUACCAAGGCAACGAUGCGUAGCCGACCUGAGAGGGUGAUCGGCCACACUGGAACUGAGACACGGUCCAGACUCCUACGGGAGGCAGCAGUAGGGAAUCUUCCGCAAUGGGCGAAAGCCUGACGGGGCAACGCCGCGUGAGUGAUGAAGGUCUUCGGAUCGUAAAACUCUGUUAUUAGGGAAGAACAAAUGUGUAAGUAACUAUGCACGUCUUGACGGUACCUAAUCAGAAAGCCACGGCUAACUACGUG